AUCCAGAUGAAGAGUUCGAAACAUGACGAAACCUGUGUCCUGGAU
rfam:Schistosoma margrebowiei strain Zambia genome assembly, scaffold: SMRZ_scaffold0002316